CAGUAGCCACGGUAAGACAAAGGAUGCAAGUGUUAAUCGGAAUUACUGGGCGUAAAGCGCACGCAGGCGGUCUGUCAAGUCGGAUGUGAAAUCCCCGGGCUCAACCUGGGAACUGCAUUCGAAACUGGCAGGCUAGAGUCUUGUAGAGGGGGGUAGAAUUCCAGGUGUAGCGGUGAAAUGCGUAGAGAUCUGGAGGAAUACCGGUGGCGAAGGCGGCCCCCUGGACAAAGACUGACGCUCAGGUGCGAAAGCGUGGGGAGCAAACAGGAUUAGAUACCCCGGUAGUCCCUGUCUCUUAUAC
rnacentral:rRNA from 1 species